GGCUCCAUAGUGUAGUGGUUAGCACGUCUGCUUUGCACACAGAAGUUCCUGGGUUCACGCCCCAGGUGGAGCCA
rnacentral:tRNA from 1 species